UACAGAGGUCUCGAGCGUUGUUCGGAUUCACUGGGCUUAAAGGGUGCGUAGGUGGGCAGGUAAGUCCGUGGUGAAAUCCCCGAGCUUAACUUGGGAACUGCCGUUGAUACUAUCUGUCUUGAAUAUCGUGGAGGUUAGCGGAAUAUGUCAUGUAGCGGUGAAAUGCAUAGAGAUGACAUAGAACACCAAUUGCGAAGGCAGCUGGCUGGACGGUAAUUGACACUGAGGCACGAAAGCGUGGGGAGCAAACAGG
rnacentral:rRNA from 1 species